rnacentral:rRNA from 1 species
GAUGAACGCUGGCGGCGUGCCUAAUACAUGCAAGUCGAGCGAACAGACGAGGAGCUUGCUCCUUUGACGUUAGCGGCGGACGAGUGAGUAACACGUGGGUAACCUACCUAUAAGACUGGGAUAACUUCGGGAAACCGGAGCUAAUACCGGAUAAUAUUUCGAACCGCAUGGUUCGAUAGUGAAAGAUGGCUUUGCUAUCACUUAUAGAUGGACCUGCGCCGUAUUAGCUAGUUGGUAAGGUAACGGCUUACCAAGGCAACGAUACGUAGCCGACCUGAGAGGGUGAUCGGCCACACUGGAACUGAGACACGGUCCAGACUCCUACGGGAGGCAGCAGUAGGGAAUCUUCCGCAAUGGGCGAAAGCCUGACGGAGCAACGCCGCGUGAGUGAUGAAGGUCUUCGGAUUGUAAAACUCUGUUAUUAGGGAAGAACAAACGUGUAAGUAACUGUGCGCGUCUUGACGGUACCUAAUCAGAAAGCCACGGCUAACUACGUGCCAGCAGCCGCGGUAAUACGUAGGUGGCAAGCGUUAUCCGGAAUUAUUGGGCGUAAAGCGCGCGUAGGCGGUUUUUUAAGUCUGAUGUGAAAGCCCACGGCUCAACCGUGGAGGGUCAUUGGAAACUGGAAAACUUGAGUGCAGAAGAGGAAAGUGGAAUUCCAUGUGUAGCGGUGAAAUGCGCAGAGAUAUGGAGGAACACCAGUGGCGAAGGCGACUUUCUGGUCUGUAACUGACGCUGAUGUGCGAAAGCGUGGGGAUCAAACAGGAUUAGAUACCCUGGUAGUCCACGCCGUAAACGAUGAGUGCUAAGUGUUAGGGGGUUUCCGCCCCUUAGUGCUGCAGCUAACGCAUUAAGCACUCCGCCUGGGGAGUACGACCGCAAGGUUGAAACUCAAAGGAAUUGACGGGGACCCGCACAAGCGGUGGAGCAUGUGGUUUAAUUCGAAGCAACGCGAAGAACCUUACCAAAUCUUGACAUCCUUUGACCCUUCUAGAGAUAGAAGCUUCCCCUUCGGGGGACAAAGUGACAGGUGGUGCAUGGUUGUCGUCAGCUCGUGUCGUGAGAUGUUGGGUUAAGUCCCGCAACGAGCGCAACCCUUAAGCUUAGUUGCCAUCAUUAAGUUGGGCACUCUAAGUUGACUGCCGGUGACAAACCGGAGGAAGGUGGGGAUGACGUCAAAUCAUCAUGCCCCUUAUGAUUUGGGCUACACACGUGCUACAAUGGACAAUACAAAGGGCAGCGAAACCGCGAGGUCAAGCAAAUCCCAUAAAGUUGUUCUCAGUUCGGAUUGUAGUCUGCAACUCGACUACAUGAAGCUGGAAUCGCUAGUAAUCGUAGAUCAGCAUGCUACGGUGAAUACGUUCCCGGGUCU